UCAGGAAAUCGGUUUAAGCAACACCAACAGACACUAUUCUGCCCCACAGUCACAGACUCACUGAGGCUGGACAACACUUCCGAGACCAUCGUGUCCAAUAUUUGACCGAUCACCACCUUGUCGACCAGCCCAGAGCACUGAGGGCCACAUCGAGUUGUUCCUUGAUGUGAUGGGGAAGGAAGCACCUAAGAUGGUUCUUAUAGCCUUGAUCUCCAAGGAUUUCCCAACAUGACUCAGCUCAAUCUUCAAAGAGGUGAAGAAGGUUUGGCAGCAGUUUGCAGUCAGAGGAACAGGCCUGUUGCAGUGCAGAACCAGCAGAGACCAGGAGUCCUGAAAGUCAAUCCCUGUGGUGCUCAUGUUGGACAAGUGCAGUAUGGAGGAACCAGUGAGGCAGCAGCAGACACGAGUGAAUGGAAGAUGCAUCUUCCUGGAGAGCAUGUGCUGUGUUAGUACAGGAGGAGGAGCAGCUGUCCCCCUGCAGUCUGCCUGAAAUUUAAUCCUGUAGGGUUUCUGAAAAAGAGAAGUUUGAAGCUUUUCUUUGAACAAUAACAUCCAGGGACAAGCAGUGAGUGUGAACACACUGCAGCUGCUGGAGUCCAGGAGGAAGCUGAGUGAGACUGGGGUUGUUUGGUUGCAAAGAGCACAGUGAAAUAAUUCACACAACACAUCUUGGAGAGAAGAAGUAUUUUCUUUUUGUCAGAAGAAAAUAAACGGGUGGAGAAAGAGGAUAGGACCCAGUUACAUACCUUUUACCACCACUUGCCACAAACUGCAGAGUUUUGGAGGAGGCCACUGCACACUCCAACAAGUCCCUUGGUGUGGAUGAUCAGAGGGACAGGACUGUGACCAAACUGAGGAAGGUGAAGGCCAGGGAAGCAGCAAUUGCACACACCUUUGAGGAGGGACUCGGUGGCUCAGGACAGGGAGCCUUGGCCUCAUUC